AAAUCCAUAUUUACACAAUAUCUUCGUUAAACGUGUAAUAUAAUAUUUAUUAAACCUCUAAUUAGUAAUUUCCAUGUUUGCAAUAGUCGAUCACAAGUCACAACUGAUAUAUUAUUUACUUUACUCACCGAUAAAUCAUACAAAAAUAACAUUUAAUACCUUUUAAAAUAAGCCAAUAUUUCCAGUCACGAAUUCAAAUGUCUUCUCACCAUUAAACGUUGCAUUAUAUUAUUAUACUCACUAUAAGUAUCCUACAAAGCCGAAUUCUCCCAGAUACCCAUUAUGAUAGACAUGCCGUGGGAAUAGUGAGAUUCGUCAGAUCGUCGAUACGUCGCGAUGUGGCUCAAGUAGCUUGCCUAGGAGGUGAAAUUUUUGGCACGAGUCAAAGGUACCGCCUGAGGCAUCGCCACUUUGCUCGUCACAAGCAUUCCCACGGUUUGGUAAGCGUGAAAAUUAUUUAGGAGCGUUUUUGUUUGAACAACAUCAUAAUUUAUUCAUAAAGGGGCGAUCGUAGCCGGAAAAUUGUCAAAACCUACGUGAUGGUGGGAACGUAUAAAUUACUCGGUUCGUCUAAAUGCCUCUGUUCAGUGCCGAGCCCUGCGCCACGAGAAGACGUUCUACCGACAGAAAUAUCCAGCGAAACCAUUUAAAUGGCAGCCAGUCAAACUUUGUAAACACAUUACACUGCAGAUAAGAGCGAAAAGGACGACGAUGCUUGGAAAACGACAGCGAGGAUUUUCGUUUCAAAGCAACGCAACGUAGUCUGCGCGGUACAUCCGAACGGAGGCGUGUUCUGCAUAAAUUGCGAUGAUGUUGUUGUAGCGAUGAUAAGUGAAUAAAAAUUUACCAGACUCGGGCUUAAUGUUACAAACGUUGUUGAAUUGUGGUACCGAUGUUAAUUGUAUAUAGGUGCACGACAUUGUUAACAUAUACCUAACAUAAUUUAUGCGUGCUGCAGCAUCGGGACGUUCACAAAAAAAAAAACCACGAAUCAGACGUUUCGUUAAAUGUUUUUACCCUUCACCUUUUGCAACCAUUUAUAAUAAACUGCAGAAGAGCGGACCGGACGUAGUUCGUCAAACGGCACAAUAAAUUGUUUGCGAAUAAAAUAUAAUUUAUAAAUGUAAGUGUAACUGAACACGGUGUGUAAAUAAAUGGUCGAAAAGCGAUCGACCAAAAGGCGGACGGAGCGGCGGAAAGUUUUCGUUCCGUCAACAAUGUGAGUACGACUGUACCGACACAUAUGUAACAUUAUGACACACUUCGAUGGUCAUCGAGAGGGGGGGGGGG